AUUGAACGCUGGCGGCAUGCCUUACACAUGCAAGUCGAACGGCAGCACGGGAGCAAUCCUGGUGGCGAGUGGCGAACGGGUGAGUAAAGUAUCGGAACGUGCCCAGUCGUGGGGGAUAACGUAGCGAAAGUUACGCUAAUACCGCAUACGAUCUAUGGAUGAAAGCGGGGGAUCGCAAGACCUCGCGCGAUUGGAGCGGCCGAUAUCAGAUUAGGUAGUUGGUGGGGUAAAGGCUCACCAAGCCAACGAUCUGUAGCUGGUCUGAGAGGACGACCAGCCACACUGGGACUGAGACACGGCCCAGACUCCUACGGGAGGCAGCAGUGGGGAAUUUUGGACAAUGGGCGCAAGCCUGAUCCAGCAAUGCCGCGUGCAGGAAGAAGGCCUUC
rnacentral:rRNA from 1 species